UUGUAUAUGAACUAAUUUUUGUCUUAUUUUGCACAUUAUUUUUUUUAGAAGAUCUUAAUGUACGUUUCAAUGUUCUAUCACUGAUCAUUUUUGGAUUUUUCCCAUUUCGUGAUUUCUUAUUCUUUAUGUGGCUGUUACCUUUCGUGUUCUGUGCACUUUUAACUUUCGAUAAUUCUAUACGUUUUUUAAUAAUUUUACGAGUAGUUACCAUCUUGUACACAUGGAAAUUACUUAUGUCCACUUUUCCGAAUCUAAGAGCGGAAACGGAAACGGUUCUGUUGAUAACUUUCUUAUACUAUACGAGUCUAUCUGCUUGAAUUAAAAUGUAAGAACUAAUUGUAUAGAUAAAAGUUUGGAACUGUCACAUGUACAUGUAAGGGUGUGAUGUUCUAUCACCGCUGAGGAUAACGUUCGCAACUUACUACACCUCGGACCGUUACACUUGGUUAACCAAGACAAUCGAGAUCAACGAUUGCUUGCAACACACGUCAAAG
rnacentral:misc_RNA from 1 species